UCCUGGUUUCCCAGGCAGUCCCAUUAGAGUACCUCCAAAAAGGAGUAGUAACUAACAGCAAGGGUUGCGCUCGUUAUAGGACUUAACCCAACAUCUCACGACACGAGCUGACGACAGCCAUGCAGCACCUGUGAAAAUGUCCAAGGUUUCCCUUGGAAAGCUACAUCUCUGUAGCGGUCAUAAACAUGUCAAGCCUAGGUAAGGUUCCUCGCGUAGUGUCGAAUUAAACCACAUGUUCCACCGCUUGUGCGGACCCCCGUCAAUUCCUUUGAGUUUUAAUCUUGCGACCGUAGUCCCCAGGCGGAUCACUUAUCGCGUUAGCUACGACACUAAUCUCGCAGAGCGAGAUUAACGUCUAGUGAUCAUCGUUUACAGCGUGGACUAC
rnacentral:misc_RNA from 1 species